rnacentral:rRNA from 1 species
UUAUAAGAGACAGCAGCAGCCACGGGAAUACGAAGGGUGCAAGCGUUACUCGGAAUUACUGGGCGUAAAGCGUGCGUAGGUGGUGGUUUAAGUCCGUUGUGAAAGCCCUGGGCUCAACCUGGGAAUUGCAGUGGAUACUGGGUCACUAGAGUGUGGUAGAGGAUAGUGGAAUUUCCGGUGUAGCAGUGAAAUGCGUAGAGAUCGGAAGGAACAUCUGUGGCGAAGGCGACUAUCUGGGCCAACACUGACACUGAGGCACGAAAGCGUGGGGAGCAAACAGGAUUAGAGACCCCAGUAGUCCCUGUCUCUUAUAC